GUUAUUAUCAUCAACUUACUUGAGCAUCACCGGACAGUGUGGAAGAUCACCAAAGUGAGAACAUCAACAAGAGCCACAUAUUAGCUGACAGCCACGUCGGCUAACCCCUCGAGAACCACCAGAGGCAACUACUUUUCACCUUCGUCGUUGUGUGCUCACCAUCGUAUCAUCACACAUCACCAUCUUCAGGAGCGACGGCUAACCCCCAAACCUGCCAGGCAUCACCAUUCACCGCUGUGUGUCC